rnacentral:lncRNA from 1 species
AUAGCAUUUUCUCAAGUCAUGCAUAAUCAAAUAACAUGCAUUGGAACACUCACCAAUCAAUUGAAACUUUUCACUUUAACCCUGGUUCGUCCUCUUGAGCUCUCUCGAGUCCUGUGGUCAUAUAUUAUAUUAAAAGACUAGCAAUACAAAACCAAAAUACAUGAAGAAAUUGAGGUUUCAAAACUUCAUUUACUAAAUGCAUCAAUUUACAAGUUUUAUACUCAUAUAACCUAUCAAAAUAUAAUAUUUUUGUGACAACCCCGUUUUUCCAAAAGGCGAACCAGAGGGGUCAGCAGGCGUCUGCCCAACUUUCGUCAGGACUCACUAAAUCCAUAGCAAGAAUUAUUUGAAAUUUCUAAACUAACCAAAAUAAUGUUCAUUACACCCCAAAAUAACAUUUACAUACAUCCAAAAGCAUAACAUAGGUUUGCGUACAAAAGAUUCAUCAUUCGACGUCUAUCUUAACUACAACUCAAAAAUAUAUACACUACAGUCAUUUCUACUAAAGUAAAACUUAAAGUCUCUCAAAACAUUCCAGCAAUAUUCUUGAGCACUCUCGGAUCCAAAUCCUGUUAAAGAAAACAAAAAGUGGGAUGAGUUUAUGCCCAGUGAGCAUUUCAGGUAAAUAGGCAGAAUAAGAGAAUAACACAAUUUAACAUGUAAGCACGUUUUUCCUAGUAAUAUAGGUUCAAGUAAAUCGAUACUCAACUUUAGAAACUGGUAGUGGAGCAAUUAAUUUUAAUAAGAAUCUUUCAAUGUAAAUUACUUGAUAAACAAUAACAUUCAUGCGUGCAUUCAGUCAUUCGUUCAAGUAAAUACAAAGAUGAACAAUAAUUUUAACAUUACAAGGAUACGGGGCUCACAGGGAGCAACAUUCACCUUAUAACUGCCAAUAAACAAUCCCCUACAUUUUACCACCUUAUAACCUCCGAACUCCCACUUUAUGUCCUCCAAAGGAUCAACAAUUCCCUCAUUUAACAUUCACCUUAUACCCUCCGAAAAAUCAACAAUCCCCUUAUUUAACAUUAAAUAUUAAGCAUUGUACUCAAGGCCUUUCGGCAAAGAGUUUUGAGCUUUGCACAUAACAUUGGUAAGUUAUAAACCCAAGGCUGUCCAGCUGAUCCGACCUCGCAAAUGGCGGGUCUCAAAUAGAGUGCCAGCAUAGGGUUAAUUUCAGUUCAACCGAUGCGAUAAAGUAGACAUCCGUCUACAUUCUUGCACAUUUAUCACACAUUCAUGCAAUGUGAACAUGCCCUCAUAGCAAAUUAACAAGACAAGAAAAUCACAACAGUCAUUCACUUAUUCGCAUGUCAUUCAAAGGAGAGCACUUAAUCAAAUAAUAGCAUUUUCUCAAGUCAUGCAUAAUCAAAUAACAUGCAUUGGAACAGUCACUAAUCAAUUGAAACCCUUCACUUUACUAAAUCGAGGAGAAAACCUCAUGUGCUUACUAAAUCAAUGUUGCAAAAGUCAUUUGGAGCACAAGAACAUCAAUUAUAGUCAAACAUUUGAAGAAAUUAGAACAAGAUUUUUAAAGUACAAAGUUGAAAAUUGUCCGAUCUAAAAUGUGUGAGGACCCGAAUUUUCCUCAAUUAUAAUUCUAUUUUAAUGGCUUAAUUAAUUAUUUAUUCACCCGUUUUCUCCGAAUAAUUUAUUUCGACCAUUUUAAAUCCAUUUAUAUGGAAUAAUGUCUCAAUUAUAUUUUUAAACCGUCUUGUUAGUAAAUUUAAUUUUUUAGGACUAAUUUAGUGAAAAAUAGCGAGUACACAUUUUUCGAGACAAUAGUCGAUCCGAGAGUACAAUAAUUUUGGAGAAUUGAGGACUCAUGUUUUAUUUCUAAAAUGGUUAUUUUAUAAUUAAUUACAUUAGUAGUAGUUAAUUAUAUAAUCGUUAUAUGAAUUUCUUGUAAAUUUCGCAUUAUCGCGCGCAAAUCGAAAAUUCGCGUAAAUCGAGCCGGAGCGGCUAAGUGAAGAUUUAAGAAACUUAAUCUAGACUACUAAGAGUGAAUAAUUAUAAUGUUUAAGAAAGUGCAUUAGAGGUUUAGUGCACAAGUGAAACAAACCCGAGAGAAAACGGACACGGAACACGCGCUAGGGAGAGUUGACUUUUGUGCACUUAAAGUCACCACCUACCAAGCUUCCAUGAGAAGCUCUCCAUAUCAGAUUUCAUCUCUCUCUUUCUCUCUAGAGCUGGCCGAAACUUGGAGGCCAAGAAGGAGACCAAAACUUCAUCUCAUCUCACUUCAUUUCUACCUCAAAUCUUACUCCAAAUCACCUCAAAUUUUGCAUCCAACUUGCAAAUCACUUGGAGAUUCACUUGGACUAGGAAAGGAGCAUCAUUUCCACGGUUUCUUGGAGCUUCUUAGUGGCCGAAUUCUGGUCUUCAACAUCUAAGAAGGUAGCAUAUGAUCUAACCCUUGAAUCUUAGUUUUAGUGAGUUAAAUUGCACUUAGAAGCUUGUAGCUUCAUGUGGGUAACUUUGUUUGAUUAUAAAUUUUGUGUGUGGGCUCUAUGAAAUCCCGCUAUGGCUUGAUGGAUUGAUUUGAUGAUAUUUGAUGUUGUUUAUAUUGGAUUAGUGUUUAAUCUAGUGGAAAUAAGUUGUGUUGUUGAAGGAAAACUCAAAGGAGUGAGUUGAGCAAAAAAGGGACAAUUCUGCCCUUGCCAUUGCUGUGACCCGUAGUGCAUUUUUUUUUGUGGUUUAAAUGACUGGAUUUUGAUGUAAAUGUGUAAUAUAGGUUGUUUAGAAAGUUUCAUCAAAAAAUUUCGUGAUUUGGAUGGGUAAAUGUUAAGAUUUCGAAAAUUUACCAAAACUGGAAUUGUGUCCCGUAUUGCUCUGGCAGUGUUUUUGUUUUAGCCAUAACUCUUUACUCCGAUGUUGAAAUCGAGUACCGUUUGCGGAAUUAGAAAAUAGAUACUCCCAGUUUUCCUACGGUAUAAAAUGCAUGCCCUGGUUCCACCUGAGUGAGCCGUACCAACCUUGUAAAGUUGUCUAUCCUGUUUCACGUCUGUACUGGAAGCCCUGUUUUGAGCUGCGACUUGAUGCUCAAAUAUGAGUUAGUUGUGGAUAGAAUUUUAAAACGAUUCCUUCUGAGAAAUUAUAGCCUUUUGAAUGUAAUUUCCAACUCCACCAACCAUGUUCAAUUCCAAUUUGAAUUGAGUGAGUUAUGGCCUGAUUUUGAAAAUGUGAUAAAGCUGGAAAUCUGGAAAAAUCCCUUCCUUCAUGCUGGCCGACAGGUUUAGCUUGAUGUGGGAGGUUUUGUUUCGAAAUUCUUGAUGUCCAUUGUUUUUCAAGUACUUAUCAAAUGUUUCUAGAACACUGGUUUCACAAAUGAAUCAAAUUGGACUGAUUUCAUGAUACAAAGUGUUUGAAAAGGAAAGAGAAGCUUGAGUUGGCAGAUUUGCUUUGAAAAUUUCACAAACUUCAGUCAUUUUGUUAACUGCCUUUCCACAUGAGUUUUUACGUGAAAUUUGGUAGAGAUAUAGUUCAUAUAUGGAAGUUUUAGUGUACCAAAAUUGGUGUUAUUCUAAGACCAUUUUGAUACCCAAACGAUGUCCCAAAAUUGCUUUUCAAAUCUGGAAAAUUGUUCCUUUGCUCUUGGCUGAAUGGUCAAAUCUGAUUUGGGAAGUUAUAUUUCGAAAACCUUCAUGUCAAUUAUCUCUAAAUUACUUAUUGGAUUUUUAUGGAACCUUGGUUACAACAUUUGAAUUAAUUGAAGUUGAUUGUGUGGAACAAAGCUUUUAAAAAGGAAAAUUGAAGUACAAGGCAGAAUUGCCUUGGAAAUUCUUGGAAUUUUAGUGGCUUUGUUAACUGACUUCCCGAACGAAUUGUUAUAUGAAAUUUGACAGAGGAAUAGCCCUUAUAUGGUAGAGUAAUAUACCAAAUUUUGUGCCAUUCUGAGUCUAUUUCAAUGUCCAACUGAAGUCCCAAAAUUCAUGUUUCAAAUCUGGAAAUUCUUGAUCAAUGAGGAAUUUUUGGUCAACUUUGAGCUGCUAUAUCUUGGUGUUCAAAACUUCGAUUCUUGUUCCGUUUGUUUUAUUUUAAACUUUGAUUGCAACUCUAAUUGAGUUCCAAAUUUCGGAGGCUAGUUCGUAUUGUGUGAAUUUUUCCGAAUUUCCAAAGUUUGCCAAAAACCAACCCGAAUCUGUCUUGGGAGUCCAAGUCAGCCACUUUCAGCCAAAAUUUGAGUGUCUUCCAUUUUGAAUCUUAGAAAAGUGUUUUCUAGGAACUUUUAGUACUUCGGAACUAGUUUCCAACAGUACCAAUUUUUCCAUUUUUGGACCUACUGAGUGCAAGAUAUAAUUUUUCUAAGUUUGACACACAAAGCUGAAUUUUGCCAAUUUCUUAGAAAAUGCAAUUUCGGAACCUUGACUUAUUUUCUCGAUAUAGAUUGAACGUUUUGAACUUGAUUUCAUGGACGAUGUUAGACUCUCUUUGAACUUUAAAACUCCACUCUUGAACCUCGAGUAGAGAGAAUUGAACCUUUCUAUUAAGACUUUGAUUUAGUUUAAUUGAGUGUGCAUCCUUCUUGGUAAAUGCAUGAUUUUAAGUAAAGUUAAUUAUUACUUGCUCAGGCGCUCAAGGGACCUUCAAGAGGAACUCGAAGCGGAUGCCUAAACACUUGUUUGAGUACUUACUCACUUGUUUUGAAUAGGUGAGUGUUCCAUAUAGAAAUACGCGAUUUGAAUAGUUUUAUGACAUGUUUUGUCACGGCCCCACCUCCCCCUAAGGCGAACCAGAGGGUUCGGCGGGCCGCCUGCCCAGCUCUCGCCGGGACUCAGUCGUUCACUACAAACCUCAAUUAAAUACAAGAUACGAUCUCAAAUAUAAAUCCAAUAUUCCAACAUUUACAUAUCAAAAGCGAAGCGUCCACGCUUCCGCAGCGCCACUCUGAUCCUUGAUACCAACUAUUAUACAGGAGGAAGUCCAAAACUAGACGAUUACACAUCCAAGCAAUUCUAAACGUUCAAUACAAUCCCAAUAUGAACGAUUACACAAAAGGAAAUCCAAAUUCAAGCCACACAUGAGAUAAUCCAUGAAUAAACACUACAAGCCACUCCUUCGCCUUGAGCCCUGUGGAGGGGAAUAAAACAUUUUGGGGUGAGCUAGAAGCUCAGCGAGUAACCAAGAAAUUCAGUUAUCAAAUCAGUUUCACAAUCGUUCAUUUCAAUAAUGUCAUGCUUCAACAAUCAAUGCACUUUCACUUCUCUCAUGAGCCAGUGAAAUCAUGAUACUUAGACGUCCAACGCUCCAAACAAUCAUUUAACAUUGAACAUUAACAUUGAACAUUGAACAUUGAGCGCAUUGGUGCUCUACAGGAACAUUAAACGGUGGAGGAAACGUCGGAGUCUAGCACACGAAUUCCAAGUACUCAUUUGAGCCAAAACAUGUCAAGAACUUAUAUGCCGGCACACAGGAUAUGCAAUCAAAGAAACGAUGCAAGAAACAUUUUAAAGUAACGUUGCAAGUAGUUUAAGGUCACUCACCUCCACGGCUCAUAAUCCUUGUUCAAUAUAGCCAAUUCCAUCAUUCAAGUCCAAGCUUUUCACAUGAAACUUAAGGUAACCAACGCUAUUAAAAAUCGGACAGCAUUUCCCCAUAAAUUCAUCCUUUCCAUCCUACAAUCAAACCCAAUCACAUAGCAAUUAACCACAAUUGCUCAAAACCAGAAAACAGUUUUGACGUCCUUUUGCGGUAAUGGCACCAAAGGUACUACGAGUAUCGGAUGGAGGUCCAAGACCCACCGUUUCGAAGCUAAGAACCAGGGCUACAACAAUGUAGAAGGUCAUCAGUCCAAAUCCUAGCACAACUAGGUCAAAUAUGCAGAAUACCAAACCAGAAUCGUAAUUGCAGGUUCCCAAAUCACACAAUGAUGUAAUUCGUCCAACUCAGUCUACACAGGUCCAAAUGCAUUGAUUCCAAAGGCAUAUGAUAGCUAAGACAUUAAGCUACAUUUCAUCAGAAGACACCAACAUCCAAAUCCAAAGCAAUUCCAGUCAAAACAGACAAUUACAAUCGCAGUUCUCACAUUCUGAUCACCCAGAACAGCAACAGUAAAUUCGGCUUUUCUGAUUCCACACUACUCCGAUUGACCUGAAAUUUUGUAGGCACCUUUAAAAUGUCAUUCCCUACAACUUUCAUGUUCUGAGCUAAGGCCAAUUCGGCCUCUAUCUAGGACCAAAAAUUCGGACAGAAUGAAGAACAAGAACCCUAAUUUUCCAGAUUUCUUCCAAAACAGAAAUUAAUUGCAAUCUUCCACUUUUUCCACCUCCUAGAGUCAUUAAACAUCAAUUCCCAUCAUCAAGGAUAGCCACAACAUCACAUUCAUAUUAAACCAGAAAAUUCAUCAAUAAAUUGAAAACUUCAUCAAUUCAUCCAAAACCAAGAAGUAAAUCACAAAAUUCAUCACUUUAACUACCACUAGGCACUAAUUAAGCUUCAUUAAGUGUAGGAGAAAGUUCAUAUACCACUCACCUAGUAAACAAGAGAGGAAGAGUUGUAGGACACCUUAGCUUCUCCAAAAAACUUCACCAAAUCACUCACUAGCACCAAAUGGAAGGAUUGUAUGGAGUAGAAACAAAUUUCAGCACUUGGGUUGGAUGAUUUGAGCUAGAUGUUAGCUAAAAUGGUGAAGAGCUCUCUUCCUUUCUUCCUUAAGGUUGGUCGGCCAAAGAAGAGAAAGAAAUGGUGAUUUUUGUGGCAAAUUUGAGAUAUUUAAUCAACAAUUAGUAAGAAAGGUCAAAAGUCAAAUAAGUGGCAACCUCUCUUAAAGUGACACAUGUCACUUCAUUAAUGCAACUCUAUCCUUUUGUCUCUCCAAUAAAAAUAUCUUAACACUUUGUAAAAUAAUAUCACUUAAUACAAAAUUCCAACAAGUGGUUAAAAAUAUAAUGCAUUUACCGCACUAGCGGGUCCCACGUCCAAAAUACGCUUUUAAUUUCUCAAAAACUAACCGAUACUAGAAAAAUCAUUUUAAAACUAUUUUUGCUCAUAAACUUUAUCUGGGGAAUUUUUCUAAUCAAGAAAAUGUAGAAAAGGCGGGCGUUAAAACAAUAAACCCUAGAAAAUUAGAAAAUUUUCGGGUUCUCAAACUCAUUUUUUUCGGGGCGUCACAAUCUCCCCUCCUUAAAAGAAUGUCGUCCUCGACAUUCCCUCUUGUACUAAUCACGUCAAGACAUCCCGCAAGAAUCACUAAUACUUCAAACCAAACCCACAGUCCGGCAUCCUAAACUUCAAGCCUAGGAUACACUACAGAGAUCUGAAGCCUAAGCUCUGAUACCAAUUGUCACGGCCCCACCUCCCCCUAAGGCGAACCAGAGGGUUCGGCGGGCCGCCUGCCCAGCUCUCGCCGGGACUCAGUCGUUCACUACAAACCUCAAUUAAAUACAAGAUACGAUCUCAAAUAUAAAUCCAAUAUUCCAACAUUUACAUAUCAAAAGCGAAGCGUCCACGCUUCCGCAGCGCCACUCUGAUCCUUGAUACCAACUAUUAUACAGGAGGAAGUCCAAAACUAGACGAUUACACAUCCAAGCAAUUCUAAACGUUCAAUACAAUCCCAAUAUGAACGAUUACACAAAAGGAAAUCCAAAUUCAACACACAUGAGAUAAUCCAUGAAUAAACACUACAAGCCACUCCUUCGCCUUGAGCCCUGUGGAGGGGAAUAAAACAUUUUGGGGUGAGCUAGAAGCUCAGCGAGUAACCAAGAAAUUCAGUUAUCAAAUCAGUUUCACAAUCGUUCAUUUCAAUAAUGUCAUGCUUCAACAAUCAAUGCACUUUCACUUCUCUCAUGAGCCAGUGAAAUCAUGGUACUUAGAAGUCCAACGCUCCAAACAAUCAUUUAACAUUGAACAUUAACAUUGAACAUUGAACAUUGAGCCCAUUGGUGCUCUACAGGAACAUUAAACGGUGGAGGAAACGUCGGAGUCUAGCACACGAAUUCCAAGUACUCAUUUGAGCCAAAACAUGUCAAGAACUUAUAUGCCGGCACACAGGAUAUGCAAUCAAAGAAACGAUGCAAGAAACAUUUUAAAGUAACGUUGCAAGUAGUUUAAGGUCACUCACCUCCACGGCUCAUAAUCCUUGUUCAAUAUAGCCAAUUCCAUCAUUCAAGUCCAAGCUUUCACAUGAAACUUAAGGUAACCAACGCUAUUAAAAAUCGGACAGCAUUUCCCCAUAAAUUCAUCCUUUCCAUCCUACAAUCAAACCCAAUCACAUAGCAAUUAACCACAAUUGCUCAAAACCAGAAAACAGUUUUGACGUCCUUUUGCGGUAAUGGCACCAAAGGUACUACGAGUAUCGGAUGGAGAUCCAAGACCCACCGUUUCGAAGCUAAGAACCAGGGCUACAACAUUGUAGAAGGUCACUCAGUCCAAAUCCUAGUACAACUAGGUCAAAUAUGCAGAAUACCAAACCAGAAUCGUAAUUGCAGGUUCCCAAAUCACACAAUGCUGUAAUUCGUCCAACUCAGUCUACACAGGUCCAAAUGCAUUGAUUCCAAAGGCAUAUGAUAGCUAAGACAUUAAGCUACAUUUCAUCAGAAGACACCAACAUCCAAAUCCAAAGCAAUUCCAGUCAAAACAGACAAUUACAAUCGCAGUUCUCACAUUCUGAUCACCCAGAACAGCAACAGUAAAUUCGGCUUUUCUUAUUCCACACUACUCCGAUUGACCUGAAAUUUUGUAGGCACCUUUAAAAUGUAAUUCCCUACAACUUUCAUGUUCUGAGCUAAGGCCAAUUCGGCCUCUAUCUAGGACCAAAAUUUCGGACAGAAUGAAGAACAAGAACCCUAAUUUUCCAGAUUUCUUCCAAAACAGAAAUUAAUUGCAAUCUUCCACUUUUUCCACCUCCUAGAGUCAUUAAACAUCAAUUCCCAUCAUCAAGGAUAGCCACAACAUCACAUUCAUAUUAAACCAGAAAAUUCAUCAAUAAAUUGAAAACUUCAUCAAUUCAUCCAAACCAAGAAGUAAACCACAAAAUUCAUCACUUUAACUACCACUAGGCACUAAUUAAGCUUCAUUAAGUGUAGGAGAAAGUUCAUAUACCACUCACCUAGUAAACAAGAGAGGAAGAGUUGUAGGACACCUUAGCUUCUCCAAAAAACUUCACCAAAUCACUCACUAGCACCAAAUGGAAGGAUUGUAUGGAGUAGAAACAAAUUUCAGCACUUGGGUUGGAUGAUUUGAGCUAGAUGUUAGCUAAAAUGGUGAAGAGCUCUCUUCCUUUCUUCCUUAAGGUUGGUCGGCCAAAGAAGAGAAAGAAAUGGUGAUUUUUGUGGCAAAUUUGAGAUAUUUAAUCAACAAUUAGUAAGAAAGGUCAAAAGUCAAAUAAGUGGCAACCUCUCUUAAAGUGACACAUGUCACUUCAUUAAUGCAACUCUAUCCUUUUGUCUCUCCAAUAAAAAUAUCUUAACACUUUGUAAAAUAAUAUCACUUAAUACAAAAUUCCAACAAGUGGUUAAAAAUAUAAUGCAUUUACCGCACUAGCGGGUCCCACGUCCAAAAUACGCUUUUAAUUUCUCAAAAACUAACCGAUACUAGAAAAAUCAUUUUAAAACUAUAUUCUGUUUCAUUUCCUCGGCCAACCUAUCUGCAGUAAAUUGAACUCAUUCUUCCUUCAAUGUUCACUUCAGUUUAUACUUGUUUCUGUCAUGCUCGAAGAAGUUAAGAUGCUUUACAAUACAUUACAGCUUAAUACAAAAUUUAAAACCAAACUUUGCAGAAGACCGCUAGAGUUUCUUCACUUCUUUUCUCUCGGAUGAGGCUAUAAGGAUUUCAGCAGGUUUCUUUCUUUCUUUUCCACUCAAAGUUUCAACUUUCACAAGUUUCUAUAGCUAAAAUUCACUUAAUGGCUUCCAUUUUUCCAUUGAUAACAAGCUGCAAUUCAUUUAGCCAUCUCUCAGUUCCCACAGAUUCAGUCCAGCUUCAAUUUUAUUCCUUCAUCAGAUUUUUCCUCAGUUAAAACUUAUUUUUCCUUGCUAAAAACUAACAUGCAGCCCAUAUAUUCAGUGAUACUCUGUAAAUAAAAGAAGGUUACAAAGAGUUUUACCUUUCUCCUUUAAGUUUUAACGGUUGCAGGUUGCUCCUAUUCUUAGCCUCGGUUCCUCAACUCUUGCACCAGCUAUCUCUCCCUUCCUUGCGUUUGUUGGUUUGUUCGUUUAUGUUUAGCAGCUGAUGGAGUUAAUCAGCUUCCUCUCCUCACCUCCAGUUCCACUCCCUCGGUUGGUUUUAGAAAGAAAGAAAGAAAGAAAGAAAGGAAGGAAGAAAGCUGCCUUGUUUUUUCUUCCUCUCGGUCACCGCCCAAGCUAGCAGAUUAGUUUCUAUUUGUUUCCUCUCAGUCACCGUCUGGACUUAGCAGAUGAUUUCUCUUUGUUUUCUCUCUUUCGGUCACUGCCUACUCAGCAAAUUGGUAGUAUAUUCCUUCCUGGCAGCUGUCUUAAUAGGAGUUACUCACCGCCCAAACUAUCAGCCAAUUUCUACUCAUUUUCCCUUCCACCGCUUAAACUUAGCAGAUGGUUAUCUAGCUUCCGUUCGGUUCCUGUUUUGUCAAAAUUCUAGUAGUUUGUUCCUUAGUUGCAUCGUAGUUUAACCGAAUCUCCAAGAUUGGUCCGGUCCUUUAGUUUUGGUUCAUUUGUUUGCUACGAGUCCAUAAUUUUAUUGUCUCAUACAUUGAUUCCAAAUUUCGUUUAUUCUAAUUUGUAUGUACCUUGGAAAAUUUUUCCUACAUUGGUCUAGUAGAAUUUCACACAUUUGGCUUUAAGGAAAAUUAAUUAGUCAUGUAACUUAUUCAACUAUAUAAUAAAUUCUAAUGACACAAAUUGGCAAUAAGUCUAUCAUAUAUUUGUUUGGUUCCUAAAAUUUUUCUACACCAUUCUAUUAUUUGUUUAUUAUGAUAUAUAUAUAUUUUAUCCUUACCAUUAUUAUUAUUAUUAUUAUUUUCUAAAUUUCAAUUUAAUAGGAAUUCAAUUAUGCAUUUAAUUUAACCAUUUAUUUGUUUUAUAUAAUAUUUCUAAUGAUAAGUUAAAUAUAAUGAAAUAAAUUCGAAGUAUGCACAUAAAUUUCCGAGUUCUCACAUCCUUCUCCCCUUAAGAAAAUUUCUUCCUCGAAAUUUCGUACCUUUAAUCGUAAAAAGUUCCAGGUAUUCUUUCCACAUUUUGUUCUCCAGUUCUCAUGUCAUUUCUUCCAUUCCAUGAUGCUCCCAUAGGACUUUGAUUAAAGGAAUUUAUUUAUUCUUCAAUCCCUGUUUUUGAAAUAACAUGCCCCAGAAACAAUAUUUUCUCCAUUCGAAAUUCACACUUACAAUUGACGCUUCCUUAAAGUCGAUAACACUAUCUUUAGAUUCUAUUCAUGAUCUUCCUUCUUAAUUCUCCAUUGAUAGUAUCGUUGUCAAAAAUCUAUCUUAGAAAACACCAUUGGCCCUUGCAACAAUUAUAACAUCGUUAUAAGCUCAACUUUCAAUCUCUCCUCUUUUUUUUUUUCUCCAAUCUUAAUCUCAUAGUUUCUAUACACCACUUUGGUUACCAAAUUUCACUCAGGUUAGUAAUUAUUAAUCCCAAGGACUAAUAAAUAUUACAGCAUUAUAACAAAAUAAACAUAUGAUCAUCAAAUUACAUACACACAAUCUAAGUUACAUUACACACCAACUUCAUACAACUUUAAAAGCCAAACAAUUCACGGAUACAUUCAACAUUUUCAUACAUAACUCAAACUUCAAUCCUUAUAAACAUGAAAGAAAACAAUUCAAUAAUACAUAAAUUAUUAUAACCACACAGCUAAUAGCUCAACCCUUAGUUUAGACUCAACUUAAACUUCAUUAAUCUAAUUUUGGACAGUCCCACUAGACCCAAUUUCUUCUUCUGGUUCUACUUCCAUAGGUUCCUCUUCCUCGGGAUCUUUCUCUGCCGGUUCGGCUUCACCUUCGACUCUAGGAGCCUCUACACCCUAACUUUCCCUAUUUAGAUUCUCCCCCACAAGCUCUUCCAUCAACACUUCACAUUCAGCUAGAAUCCCUUUAGUUCGGUCUCUUACCUAUCUUAGUACCCUAGUGAGACGGUCUUUAGUCUCCUGCAACUGAUCAUACAAGACAUUAGUUCACUCUUGCUCCUCUAUCAUAUCAGUUUCCUACUUUAGGAUCCUAUCACGUCACAUCCUUAUGAAUUUCCUCAUUUCUUACAUUCUAAUAUGAGCUCUCUCAUUUGCUAUUACUAAUCUCUGUCUUUUACCCAUUUGAACUAGUAUCACUCGAUCCAGAUAGAAGUAAGUUCUUGAACAGUCACAGUGACUAGUCAUUCAAUGCCCUAGAACACACUGCCGAAAGGAUACACCUGGUCCUUACUUAAAAACUAUUUCACUCAAAUUUCAGGUCAGAAAACCAUAUUUUUAGGCAAGAGUUGGCAUAUGAUCUAUUUACUAUCGCAGGCUAAUAAAAUUAUUCACCUUAAGAUGGAGGAUUUGCACUAAUAUUCAAGAUCUCACCACAACCUCUUCACCCUUAGCUCUCAAAAGCUAGCCUUGGUCUCGUUAAUUCUAUUUCUUCAAUUUAAAUCGUGAUUUCUGAUCACGUCAUAAUGCAAUAUACUAAAUUCUUCCUAAUUUGUAAAUACACCAUUGAAUGAAAUAUCUGGUACUUGGGUACAAGAAUCUGAAAAUAGGAUAAUUCAUAGCCUAGGUUGGCCAGUCCCAAGAGUAAAUUACCCAUAUUUGAGAUUCCUACCUGAUGUACUUAUCUAAUCCCCUUAGCAAUAGUAAUUAAUUCAACACUUAAAAGGUCAAUCCCCACAGUUCGAGAACCCUCUCCCGGCUUGACCUCAUUAAGAGCUUUGAUACCACCUGUGACGACCCGCCCUCCUCCUAGGACGUACCCUAGAAGUUAGCGGACCGCCUGCCUGGCUCUCGUCAGGACUCAUUUAUUUACAUUAACUUCAAAGAUAACAUUUCUCAUUAAUCAUCCAAACAUCCAUUCUUAAUACUUCUUAGUAAGACAAAAGCUUUGUCCACUACAAAUUACAAAAGUAAAUCAUCCAAACGUUCAUUCUUAAGUAUAUCACCCAAGUACAUCACCAACUAGUGUAAAAUAUAAAUCUACCCAUUAAGAGAUGCAAAAUGCAGGUCUUAUCAUCAAUAUAACACUCUAACUCUAUUUGAUCGUCCUUCAAACUUCAACUCCUGUAAGGAAAACAAAGCUAAAAGGUUGAACUAAUGCUCAGUGAGGUUUCCAUGCAAGCAACAAUCAAUAAACAUUUAAACCAGAUAAGCCAGUAACAAAAUUAAGCAAUUAAAGAACACUUCACUGAAUCAAGUAGAGAACACUUCACUGAACAUUCACUUUUAAAAAGGAUACAGUGCUCGCAUUAGAAACUUCAAUGCACUACACACUCCACCGAACUCCUCCUUAUAACCUCCAAAACAAUAAACACUUCCCUCACUUAGAUGGCCAUAUCAACAUCAGUAAUCUGCUACUCCUUGGUAAUACUCGAGCAUACCAAUACACUUACCCAAAGCUACCGUCCUAUCCGACAAGCCCUUUUGCUGGCUCGAGUAGUCCGUUGAACAAAGGGUUUUGGGGCUCAGUUCAGCCGGUGUGGUAAAGUACACACAUGGCUUACAGUCAUGCACAUUUACAAUAACACUUGAUCAAUUAUCAACCUUCAAGUUCAAACUAAGUCGAGUGCGAUAAUGUACACUCCCGACUUAGAAGGCAAGGGACAAUUGAGAUAUACUUUACAAUGAAUCACUAGCAAUAUUCCAUAAUAAGCACAUUUAUCACAUAAUUUCACUUAAGUAAACAUAAACAGUUAAACACACAAAUCCGGAAACACUCACCAAGUUUCCAAAUAAAUUACUCUUGAGCCUCGAGUUUGUUUCCUGAGUCACAGCUAUUCCCUGAGAUAAGUGUAUAAGUCCAAAGUAAAUAUACAAUUUGUAGAUAUUCAUUUAUUAUUUAUUACCCUAUUAUCGGAACUAUUAAAAUCAAGUUUGACUUUAAAAUACAAAAUAUAAUAUAUUCAAUAUUUAUUCUACAUUUUAUUUCGAACUUUAUUGACUUUAUCAUUUUAACAAAGAAAUAUACACAUUUUCUAAGGUUAUGAUUUAUAAAUAUUUAAAUUAGGAUUAAAUCAUUUCUCACUCUAUAUCUUAAAGUUAAAAUAAAUAAACUUUUCAUCCUUCUCUUCUUCUUUUUUUCCAAAUCAAAUUCUAAGUUGUCUAUGAUUUAAGUUUUGUAUAAACUUAUUAGUUUUCUUGUUUAAGUUUCUUAAAUGUUCAUAAGCGGAGUUUCACAACGAAUUAGCUUAAAAUUUCAAGAUUCCAUAAAAGUUUCAUUUCUCCCUUCAUCCGGUCAGCAUAAACAAUAUUUUAGCUCAAAUGUUCCUUAACCUACAACAACUCCACUUUUUAAUUGCUUAAACUUUAGUCACCUAGUAUACAUUUCAUUCAAGGUGAAUAACUCAUAAUUUCAGCAUGUCGGUCGCCCACAUCAUAUACAAAAUUUGUCAUCUUCAAUCGCAACCAUUAACUAGGCUUUCUAGCAAUGUAUCGGUCCAAUAUUCGGUACAUUUCCCUCAAAUCUUUCCUUUCACUCUCAUGUCCCAACUAGACAAGUUAAUUACAUUUAUUAAGCUACAAAGUAGCAUUGUACAGAACGUGGAAAGUUUUGCAGCUUACUUAGAGGAAAAAACUGAUCAACUCUUCCUUCUUUCUCUCGCCAUAAGGUAAUUCAGCAGCACAUUUCAUAGUUUUCCUCUCAUUUGCCUUAGUUUAACUCUACUCACGAAACUAGUCAUAGUCACUAAAUCACAGAGCAACCUUAGUUCUACCUGUGGAAGUUCACAGAGCCAGAAAUUAAAAGAAUGGCUGCUCUACAAGCUGAUUUCCUUCCCUUUUUUUUCUAUCCUAACAGAUUGUACCAACUUCCUUUUGUCAAAUUUUAGUUAAGCUUCCUGAAGUUUUCUGAUUUCCAAGGCACCUAUCUGUUAAGGUAAAGAAUUAACAUAUCUCAUGCGGUUGUUAGUAAGUGUUUCCAAUAUAUUAACAACAAGUUGCAUAUUCUGUUUCAUUUCCUCGGCCAACCUAUCUGUAGUAAAUUGAACUCAUUCUUCCUUCAAUGUUCACUUCAGUUUAUACUUGUUUCUGUCAUGCUCGAAGAAGUCAAGAUGCUUUACAAUACAUUACAGCUUAAUACGAAAUUUAAAACCAAACUUUGCAGAAGACCGCUAGAGUUUCUUCACUUCUUUUCUCUCGGAUGAGGCUAUAAGGAUUUCAGCAGGUUUCUUUCUUUCUUUUCCACUCAAAGUUUCAACUUUCACAAGUUUCUAUAGCUAAAAUUCACUUAAUGGCUUCCAUUUUUCCAUUGAUAACAAGCUGCAAUUCAUUUAGCCAUCUCUCAGUUCCCACAGAUUCAGUCCAGCUUCAAUUUUAUUCCUUCAUCAGAUUUUUCCUCAGUUAAAACUUAUUUUUCCUUGCUAAAAACUAACAUGCAGCCCAUAUAUUCAGUGAUACUCUGUAAAUAAAAGAAGGUUACAAAGAGUUUUACCUUUCUCCUUUAAGUUUUAACGGUUGCAGGUUGCUCCUAUUCUUAGCCUCGGUUCCUCAACUCUUGCACCAGCUAUCUCUCCCUUCCUUGCGUUUGUUGGUUUGUUCGUUUAUGUUUAGCAGCUGAUGGAGUUAAUCAGCUUCCUCUCCUCACCUCCAGUUCCACUCCCUCGGUUGGUUUUAGAAAGAAAGAAAGAAAGAAAGAAAGGAAGGAAGAAAGCUGCCUUGUUUUUUCUUCCUCUCGGUCACCGCCCAAGCUAGCAGAUUAGUUUCUAUUUGUUUCCUCUCAGUCACCGUCUGGACUUAGCAGAUGAUUUCUCUUUGUUUUCUCUCUUUCGGUCACUGCCUACUCAGCAAAUUGGUAGUAUAUUCCUUCCUGGCAGCUGUCUUAAUAGGAGUUACUCACCGCCCAAACUAUCAGCCAAUUUCUACUCAUUUUCCCUUCCACCGCUUAAACUUAGCAGAUGGUUAUCU